UCUCUUUCAAGUGUUUCUCUCUAUUCUUUCCACUCAAAUAAACACAAGCUGGGCACUCUAUUUAUAGACAAAAACAGAAUACGAAAAUCUACUGUUCCAGGUGUGAAGGCGGCUGUUGACCGGCGGUGUGAAGGCGGCUGGCGGCUGGCGGCUGCGGCUGGUGGCUGGCGGCUGCGGCUGGUGGGUGGUUGCCUUCCUUGACUCUAGGUGCUUCUAGAUUGAGUUUAUUCAACAAAUCUCCCCUUUAAACUCAAUCGAGGGAUGUCAUGCCAAGCAUGAACUUUAAUCGGAUGAAUACUUCUCCUUUCAAUGGCUUUGUGAAGAUGUCAGCAACUUGAUCAUUUGUGUUGCAAGAUAUCAGUUGGACUUCUUCAUUCUUCACAUGUUCCCGGAUAAAGUGAUGACGUGUAUCAAUGUGUUUGCUCCUCUCAUGAUACACUGGAUUCUUUGCUAAUGCGAUUGCUGAUCGAUUGUCAAUAUAAAUCUCCGUAGGACUUUCUUGAGGAAAUCCCAAAAACUUCAGCAUAUUCCUUAACCAUAUUGAAUGGCAUACGGCUGAGUUGGCAGCAACAUACUCAGCUUCACAGCUUGAUAAUGUGACAAUCGAUUGCUUCUUGGAUGACCAUGUGAAAGAUGUGUCUCCCAUGAAAAAGACAAACCCUGUUGUGCUUUUCCUUUCAUCCAGAUCUCUACCCCAAUCACUAUCCGAGUAGCCUACAAGAUUAAAGUCUUUACUUGAGGUAUAAAACAUACCUUCAUUCAUUGUGCCUUUGAUGUAGCGAAGAAUUCUCUUGGCUGCAUUCAAAUGAGACUGGUCUGGUGUCUCCAUGUAUCUGCUGACGAGUCCGACUCCGUAGAGUAUAUCCGGUCUGGUACAUGUCAAGUACCUUAAGCUUCCUACUAAGCUUUUGAAGUAAGUUGGAUCAACAUUUCCAACCUUACUCUUCCUCAAUUCCACUCCAUUCUCAACUGGAGUUGAUACCGGAUUGCAGCUUUCCAUCUUGAACCUUUCAAGAAUAUCUUUGGCGUAACCGCUUUGGGAUACAAAAAUCCCUUCUUCCUUCUGCGUUACUUCUAAGCCAAGAAAAUGUGACAUUAGACCAAUGUCAGUCAUUUCAAACUCCUGUACCAUGCUUCGUUUGAAGUCGUCAAACAUGGUAGGGUUGUUGCCGGUGAAUAUCAAAUCAUCAACAUACAGGCACACAAAUAAGAUGCUGCCAUCUGCUCCUUUCUUCACAUACAUUGCGUGUUCAUAUGGACAUUUUUCAAAUCCAUUAUCUUGAAAAUACCUGUCAAUUCUGGUAUUCCAAGCACGCGGAGCUUGCUUCAAACCAUAGAGAGCCUUCUUCAACUUGUAUACUUUGCCUUCAUUUUCAGCAUCAAUGUAUCCAAGUGGUUGUUCAACAUAGAUUUCUUCUUCUAGGAAGCCAUUCAGAAAUGCUGACUUCACAUCGAGUUGAUAGAUCUUCCAUCUAUGUUGUGCAGCUAGUGAGAUCAUCAGUCUGAUUGUCUCUAGCCGGGCUACUGGAGCAAAUACUUCUCCAUAGUCAAUGCCUUCUCUCUGUUUGUAGCCUUUAGCCACUAAUCUGGCUUUGUAUCUUUGCACUUCUCCUUUGGCGUUCUUCUUCGUCUUGUAGACCCAUUUGACACCUAUUGCUUUCUUGUUUUCUGGUAGAUAAGUCAGCUUCCAGGUAUCAUUCUUCUCAAUGGCAUGUAUUUCUUCAUCCAUUGCUUCUAUCCAUUUCUCUUCUGUGACAGCUUCAUUGAAGUUUAAUGGGUCACUAUCUGCAAAGAAACAAAACAGAGUUGUAUCUUCCAUACCUGAGUGGUAUCGUACAACUCUUCAAGAUUCCGCAUCCUUCUUGGUCCUUCUGAUGAGGAUGCUGGUGGUGUUGAUGAUGAUGCUCCUGGUGUGUUCCUCCUGUUGAAUACAGGGAAACUGUGUGCCGGACUUUGUGGUUCAGCUGCUGGCACAAUCGGUUCUUCGACAAGUACUGUUGGUACUUCUUCACCUUCAAGGAUCAAAUCAAGAUUGAUCCAUUUGAUUGCUUCUUGAUCACCAUUCCAUGCCCAAGAUUUAUCUUCUUCAAAGAUAACAUCUCUACUCGUAAUCACCUUCUUCGUGAUGGGAUUAUACAGCCUGUAUCCCAUCCUUCUUUCACCAUAUCCGACAAAGAUGCAUUUCUCGCUCUUAUCAUCGAGCUUUCUCCUUCUUGCAUCUGGGAUCUUUGCAUAUGCCACACAACCAAAGACUCGUAGAUGAGUAACACUUGGUUUGUGACCACUCCAUGCUUCUUCUGGAGUGACUCCUUGCAAACUUCUGGUUGGGCAGCGAUUCAGUAGAUACACUGCACAUGAUACAGCUUCAGCCCAGUAUUGCUUGGGCAACUUCUUUGCUUUGAGCAAACUUCUUGCCAUGUCAAGAAUCGUGCGAUUCUUCCUUUCUGCUACACCGUUCAGCUGUGGUGUAUAAGCUGGCGUCGUCUGAUGUCUGAUGCCUUGUUGUGUACAAUAGGCUUCAAAGUCAUUUGCUGUAUAUUCUCCACCUUGAUCAGAUCUUACGGUUCUGAUCGUGUAACCAGUUUGCUUCUCCACAAUUGCUUUAAAAUCUUUAAAACAAUUGAAUACUUCUGACUUCCUCUUCAGAAAGUAUAUCCACGUCUUUCUACUAAAAUCAUCAGUAAAAGUGAGGAAGUACCUAUUUUGUCCAGUCGACAUAGGCGUAAUUGGGCCACACACAUCUGUGUGUACUAACUCCAGUGGCCUCUUUGCUCUCCAGUUGACUUCUUUGGCAAAACUGGAUCUGUGAUGUUUGCUGAGGACACAACUCUCACAGACUUCAUCUGGAUGAUCAAUGUGAGGCAAACCUUUGACCAUCUUCUUGCUUGCUAGCAUCUUCAACUCGUGAAAUUCAGAUGUCCAAGCCUCAGGUGCCAAAGCCAUUCUUCACUGUUGGUGAUGGCACUCAAACACCUUGUUGCAUCAUACUGGAUGUUCAAAGGAAACAUCCUAUUCUUGGACAUUUUCACGUAGGCCAUUAAUCUCCCAUUGUUGUCUCUAAUUGCCAGAUGACAAUUCUUCGAGUAAAAACUAUAUCCUCUCUCCAAAAGUUGGCCUAAGCUGAUCAGGUUCUGCUUUAUGGCUGGGACAUAAUACACAUCGGCGAUGUAGCUGGAAUCGCCAUUCUUCAACUUGACUGGGAUGUUGCCUUUACCUUUGAAUGGAACCUUUGUGGUAUCUCCAAAAGUAACUAGACCUUGCUUGGUCUCAUCUAGAUCACCAAAUAACUCUCGGUAGCCGCACAUGUGAUUGCUGGCUCCAGUAUCUAGAUACCAUAUCUCCUCUUGUUUCUCGCCAUGUCCUUGUUGGACAAGAAAUGCAGAUGCUUCUCCAUCAUGCUUCUCUACAUAGUUGGCUUGCUCACGUAUCUCCAACGGAGCUUUCCAUCGGCAUUCAGUGCUAUAGUGCCCAAAUUGAUUGCAGCUAUAACAUUUGAUAUUUCUCUUGUCACGGUUAUUGUAACCGCCUCCUCUUCCUCUAGGAGUGAAUGCUUGUUGGCCUCGGCCUCCUCUGGUGGUGUUUCUGCCACCUCUUCCUCUGAAGCUUGUAUUCCAAGAUCCUCUUCCUCUUCCUUGGAAUCUAUGAAAUCCUCCUCUGGAUUGUUGACUUCCUGCUUGAGUGGUGUAGCCACCUGUUGAAGUCUCCCCUUGCUCAUAUCUGUCCUUGAAAGACAGCUUUGCUUGUAAGGCAUGCUCAAUGGCCUUAUCUUCAUUUCGCAUUACAAUCUUCUGCUCAUGAGCUUGCAAAGAACUCAUAAGCUCAUCCACUGUCAACUUGUCCACUUCCUUGGACUCUUCAAUUGCGACAACAACAUGAUCAAAUUUUGGAUCUAUGGAUCUCAAAAUUUUCUCAAUAAUUCGAGUAUCGGAUGAGGGCUUCUCCAUUUCUUCUCAUCUGGUUGACUAUCACCAUAAUCCUUGUAUGAUAAUCGGAAAUAGAUUCUGAGGACUUCAUUCGUAAUAAUUCGAAUUCUCCUCUCAAAGAUUGAAGACGAAUCUUCUUGAUUCUGUCAGCACCUUUGUAUUUCUGUUGGAGAGCCUCCCAUAUAUCAUGUGACGUUUCAGCGGAAGCUAUUAUCUCGAAUGUAUCUUCAUCAAGACCUUGAUAGAUGAUGGUCUUUGCUUUGUUGUCCUUCUUUCUGUUGACUUUAAGGACUUGCUUCUGUGCCUCUUGUAAAGCAUCUUCUCUUUCUUUGGACUCUGGUUCAUCAUAACCAGUUUGUACAAUAUCAAAACACUCUUGUGACCCAAGAAAUGCCUUCAAUCUGAUGCACCAACUAUCAUAGUUGUCUUUGGUCAGCUUCGGGAUGAGUGUAUGUGUACCUUCUGUAGUCAUUUUGCUCUUUUAAUGACUAUAUCGCCUUCUGGGAGCCGAAUUUGACCAAACGGACACUGUAGAUCGAUCCGGAAUGGUCCAAAUAGUCGGGAACCGGUCUGACUUUGUUGAAAUCGGGUCAGAAAAUGGGUGAACCGGUCAAAACCACCAAUUCUGUACGGCGGGCGGUUCGCUGGGUUGAACCGGGAAUAUUCUGUGGAAUAUUCUGGGGAAUAUUCGGGGAAUAUUUUGGGGAAUAUUCUUGGGAAUAUGCUGGGGAAUAUUCGUGGAAUAUUCUGGGGAAUAUUCCUUCGGCUCGGCUGAGGCUGGAACGCGGCUCGGCUCGGCGCGAGGUACGGCUCGGCUUGUGGCUCGGCUGGACUUGGCUUGUGGCUCGGCUAGGACUCGGCGUAUACGGCUCGGCGCGGCUCAAAUAUGGCACGCGUGUGGCUCAGUCGUCUUCAACCUCGGGGCGCGUGGGGUGCGCGUGGGCGAUCUGGCUGAAUAUUCAGGCGGCGCGUGUGGGCUACCCUGAACUCCGAUUUGGCUGAUUUUUGCGGCAGUGAGUUCGUCUUGAUGAGCUCUACACUGUGGAAUGAUCAAAACUUGUUUUUGACAAUUUUGAAAAUUCGGAUAUACCCCAAAACACUUCUGUUUUCCGACGAACGGGGCUCUGAUACCAAUUGUUGGUGGGAGGAACCACUGGUGGUGGCUUUGAAACACUCAGAGGGGAUAAAACACACUGGUUUUAUUACAAAAUCCGAAGCUUACAAUUAAUUAAAACAAAAGCUUAAACACACCCUCUUUCUCUCUUUCUCUUUCAAGUGUUUCUCUCUAUUCUUUCCACUCAAAUAAACACAAGCUGGGCACUCUAUUUAUAGACAAAAACAGAAUACGAAAAUCUACUGUUCCAGGUGUGAAGGCGGCUGUUGACCGGCGGUGUGAAGGCGGCUGGCGGCUGGCGGCUGCGGCUGGUGGCUGGCGGCUGCGGCUGGUGGGUGGUUGCCUUCCUUGACUAUCUAGGUGCUUCUAGAUUGAGUUUAUUCA
rnacentral:lncRNA from 1 species